rnacentral:rRNA from 1 species
CGCGCCGCGACCGCGCCGACCGGGUGAUGCCCCGGAAGCCCGGGCGGGCCGUCGCUGCGUCACGCUGCUCGCCCGCGGGCGCCCGCCCUUGCGCGCACGUCUUGGCGCCGGGUUGCCAGCGGUGUCCGGCUAGCAGGGACCGCCGCGGGGGGUGCAACCGUCGUCCUGAGCCGUCCGCCGCGUCCCGGGUGAGCGGGCAUGCAUGGCUUCGUCCUUGGGGAGAGCGUCGCGCUCCGGCAGGAUCGACCGGAUGA